GCUGGGGUAUACGUCUUGCUAUGUCAGUCGACGGCAGCACGGGUGCUUGCACCUGGUGGCGAGUGGCGAACGGGUGAGUAAUACAUCGGAACAUGUCCUGUAGUGGGGGAUAGCCCGGCGAAAGCCGGAUUAAUACCGCAUACGAUCUACGGAUGAAAGCGGGGGACCUUCGGGCCUCGCGCUAUAGGGUUGGCCGAUGGCUGAUUAGCUAGUUGGUGGGGUAAAGGCCUACCAAGGCGACGAUCAGUAGCUGGUCUGAGAGGACGACCAGCCACACUGGGACUGAGACACGGCCCAGACUCCUACGGGAGGCAGCAGUGGGGAAUUUUGGACAAUGGGCGAAAGCCUGAUCCAGCAAUGCCGCGUGUGUGAAGAAGGCCUUCGGGUUGUAAAGCACUUUUGUCCGGAAAGAAAUCCUUGGCUCUAAUACAGCCGGGGGAUGACGGUACCGGAAGAAUAAGCACCGGCUAACUACGUGCCAGCAGCCGCGGUAAUACGUAGGGUGCAAGCGUUAAUCGGAAUUACUGGGCGUAAAGCGUGCGCAGGCGGUUUGCUAAGACCGAUGUGAAAUCCCCGGGCUCAACCUGGGAACUGCAUUGGUGACUGGCAGGCUAGAGUAUGGCAGAGGGGGGUAGAAUUCCACGUGUAGCAGUGAAAUGCGUAGAGAUGUGGAGGAAUACCGAUGGCGAAGGCAGCCCCCUGGGCCCAAUACUGACGCUCAUGCACGAAAGCGUGGGGAGCAAACAGGAUUAGAUACCCUGGUAGUCCACGCCCUUAACGAUGUCAACUAGUUGUUGGGGAAUUCAUUUCCUUAGUAACGUAGCUAACGCGUGAAGUUGACCGCCUUGGGGGAGUACGGUCCGCAAGAUUAAAACCUCCAAAGGAAUUUGACGGGACCCGCCCCAAGCGGUUGGAUGAUGGUGAUUAAUUUCGAUGCAACGCGAAAAACCUUACUACUUGACAUGUCGGAAUUCUGUCUGAAGGUGGGAGUGUCUCGAAGAAAACGGCCCCAAGUGCGCAUGCUGUCCUCUCAGUUCGGUUCUGAGGAAAUGUUGCGCCUA
rnacentral:rRNA from 1 species